ACGCAUCGUGUCCCGGAACCACCCCGCC
rnacentral:sRNA from 1 species